UCCGCGGUAGCUCAGAGGUAGAGCCCCAAUCGUCGCGGGUUCGAUUCCCGUUCGCGGAG
rnacentral:tRNA from 1 species